AUAUUACUCCCUCCGUUCGGAAUUACUUGUCUUGAAAAUGGAUGUAUCUAAAACUAAAAUACUUCUAGAUACAUCCAUUUUCGCGACAAGUAAUUCCGAACGGAGGGAGUAGGAU
rnacentral:pre_miRNA from 1 species